GACGAACGCUGGCGGCGUGCUUAACACAUGCAAGUCGAACGGAAAGGCCCUGCUUUUGUGUGGUUCUCGAGUGGCGAACGUGUGAGUAACACGUGAGUAACCUGCCCUUUACUUUGUGAUAACUUCAGGAAACUGGUGCUAAUACCUGAUAGGAGCUCCUGCUGCAUGGUGGGGUUUGGACAGUUUCGGCGGUUGGGGAUGGACUCGCGGCUUAUCAGCUUGUUGGUGGGGUAGUGGCUUACCCAGGCUUUGACGGCUAGCCGGCCUGAGAGGUUGGCCGGCGACAUUGGGACUGAGAGACGGAGCAGACGCGUACGGGAGGCAGCAGUGGGGAAUAUUGCACAAUGGGCGGAAGCCUGAUGAAGAAACGCCGCGUGCGGGAUGAAGGCCUUCGGGGUGUAAACCGCUUUAGCCUGUGACGAAGCGUGAGUGACGGUAAUGGGUAAAGAAGCACCGGCUAACUACGUG
rnacentral:rRNA from 1 species